GAUAGCCCUUUCCCGCACUGUGGCUAAGUGGCCGGGAUAAUGAGUAAUACAUGUCAAAGUUAACACCCACCAAUCAUUUUAGGAACCUGGAAAGCGUCUUAGUUUCAAAUCUGCUGUGGUGAAGCUGGUUUCCAUGCAAUUUUUACAACAUCCUAAGCCAGCUGUCGUUCCCCUCCGCUCGGCAUGCUGUCGACUAAGUGAUACCCAUCUGGGGAUCUCAGGGAUGGCAGCCCCGGAGGUGGCAGGAGGAGCAGCAGGAGUGAUGGCUGUGCCUGCCCCCGCCCCCCCGUUCACCCCCCCAGCCCUGGCUCCACUGCGUCAACCUCUACAGCACACGGUCCUGUGCGUCAGGAAUGUGAGGUCAGUGUCUGGUGACUCUCCUGCGCCUUGAGGACAUGGGACCCUCCAUUUUGGACGUGUGGGAUCCAGGGGUGGCUCCAGCUUGGCCCUGGGGUGUCGAGGGGCCAUCUGUGGAUGUGGGCUGGUCCCGAACCCCACACAGCAGACACUGUGCUGGACUCGCAUCACGUGGUGAGGUGACCCAGAUGGCAAAGACUUCCAGAGGAUUCUGUCCUGUCUUAAGACAUCAGGGGAAAGUACUCCCAAGAAGAGGACGAAGGAUGAGAGCCAGGCUGGUGGGGCUGAGCGCCGGCUGAAGUGACACAGAUGAGCCGACACUAAAAACUUCUCCUGAGUGUGCGCCACGCUCCCUGCACUAAUGCACUGGGAUGAGGUGCUGACCAGGGGGAGGGGCAAGCCUUUAAGAGCCCUGCCCUCACGGCUUCGCCUGGGCUGUGAUGGGGAGGCAGGAGCCAUGGGGCCGGGGAGGAGGCUGCUGGUCCCAGCCCUGGUGCUGCUCUGCUUCCUGCCGCCUGGGCCUGGGAGCCGCGCAGAUGAAGGUACGUGGACUCUCACCAGGAUCUAGCAAUUGCCUCUUGUUUUUGCCUGAAUCCAAGUAGUGACCAA